GUCAAAUACAAACCGUGCCAUACCUGACAUCAGGUGUCACUGUGUGUUUUCAGAGAUGUGCAAGCAGGAAAAGAACAAACCAAUGGCCAGAUUUCAGUGUGGACGGUCCUGCUCAUGUUACGCAUGCAAUAUAUAUAUAUAUAUAUGUACACACACUGCUCAAAAAAAUAAAGGGAACACUUAAACAACACAAUGUAACUCCA